GUGCCAAAAAAUUACCAGCAGACUCUGGCUAUGGAUUUUGUUGAGAUGACCAAAAGGAAGCCUGAUCUAAUGUCUCAUAUUGCUUUGGGGUUCGUUAUCUAAGGAUAUCCUUGGUGAGCUCCUGGAUAUGGCUCUCUGAAGAAGGUCACACCAUCCAUAAUUAUACCUGGGAAAGUGGUCUGGAACUAAACCUGCAGUAUCUCUGAGGGACCUGCAUGAAUUACAGUAUAGAGAGCGGCAGGGAGUAUUGAGAGUGAAUUAGCAUAUGCCAGAUCAUCCUGUGCUCCCCAGACACCAUACUGUGCAUUGUGAAACAUGGCUUCUCUCUCUCUCUCUCUCUCUCUCUCUUUUAAGAUUUUAUUUAUUUAUUCAUGAGAGAUACAGAGAAAGAGGCAGAGACAGGGAGAAGCAGGCUCCCUGCGGGAAGCUCUAUGAGGAACUUGAUCCCAGAAUCCUGGGAUCCGACCUGAGCUGAAGGCAGAUGCUCAACCUCUGAGCCACCCAGGCAUCCCAAAUAUGGCUUCUCUUAAGGUACCUGGUGGAAGACAAUGACACAUUUCUGAGCAUGCAUGAAAGGGACAUUAGCUUCCAUGGGAAUAUUUCUGACCCUCACCUCUCUUAGCCAUCCUCUGGGCCCAUAAUUCUUCAUAGUCUAGAACUUCUUUUUAUAUACUUUCCAGCUUUCCAUCUCUGUCUACAGUGAGGAUAGAUGGGGCAUGGAAUGCAAAGCAGGGAGCAAGACUAAAUGCAGCAGGCAUGAUAGAUGGAAUGAAUAUAUUUAGAGUAAAUUAGAAAUAGAAAUGGUACAUUGAUCAGUUUGUUUCUGAUGAAGUUCAAGAAUGUUUCAAUAUAUGCAGCACAAUAGACUUCAGAGAGGCAGAAAAGCAUGAACAAUAGACGUGAGUUAGAGGAAGGAUCCACCAGAGAUACACAGAUGUUCCAAUGGCUCUUGAGAUUCAAAUUUUGAAACUUGGAUUUUGUAUAUUAUCUUCUCAAAAGAACAAAACAAUAAGCUCAUACUAAAUUUUAUAUUAUAAAGUUGGUGAUUAAUAUCAGCCUAGAAAAGUUGAAAUAUUCAAUAAUUAGACUUAAUACUUGAGGCUACUGGACAGCCCUAGGAGGAAAAAUAAAUUUCCACUUAUAUUGCAUACUUUACUGUAGAAUAACUUCAAAUGGAUCAAAGCUCUAAGUGUUAAGAUUAAAUUAAAAUGUAUUUAAGAAGAUUAAGGGUUAUUUAAAAUUUUUUGUGUGAGAAAGGCACUUAAAAGUCUGAUGAAGGGGAUCCCUGGGUGGUGCAGUGGUUUAGCGCCUGCCUUUGGCUCAGGACGUGAUCCUGGAGA